UUUGGCAGCAUGUAUGCUAAAAAAAAAAAAAAAAAGGGAAAUAUACAGAGAUUAGCACAGCCCCUGCACAAGGAUGGUACGCAAAAUCCUGAAGUGUUCUGUACAACA